UUCACACCUUGGUUUAUUAAGGAUAAAACAAGGUGUGAUUGCAUUUUUUGGUAAUGUUCAUAGGACUAAAAUGGUAUGUGGGGUAGCUAGUAGGAGCA